UACGUAGGGGGCGAGCGUUGUCCGGAUUUAUUGGGCGUAAAGAGCGUGUAGGCGGCCAGGUAGGUCUGGUGUGAAAACUCGAGGCUUAACCUUGAGAUGUCAUCGGAAACCAUUUGGCUAGAGUCCGGAAGAGGAAAGUGGAAUUCCUGGUGUAGUGGUGAAAUGCGUAGAGAUCGGGAGGAACACCAGUGGCGAAGGCGGCUUGCUGGGCCGGACCUGGACGCUGAGACGCGAAGGCGUGGGGAGCGAACGGG
rnacentral:rRNA from 1 species